rnacentral:rRNA from 1 species
CCCUUAGAUGUUCUGGGCCGCACGCGCGCUACACUGAUGAAUGCAACGAGCUCUACCCUUGACCGAAAGGCCCGGGUAAACUUGUGAAACUUCAUCGUGAUGGGGAUAGAUUAUUACAAUUAUUAAUCUUCAACGAGGAAUUCCUAGUAAGCGCGAGUCAUCAGCUCGCGUUGAUUACGUCCCUGCCCUUUGUACACACCGCCCGUCGCUCCUACCGAUUGAAUGGUCCGGUGAAAUCUUCGGAUUGCUGACCAAGAUCCAGCAAUGGAGCUUGGUUGCGAGAAGUUGAUUAAACCUUAUUAUUUAGAGGAAGGAGAAGUCGUAACA